AUUUAACUGAUGAGUCCCAAAUAGGAUGAAACGUGGUUCCUGUAU
rnacentral:hammerhead_ribozyme from 1 species